rnacentral:tRNA from 1 species
UCACUGGUGGUCCAGUGGUGAAGACUCUGAACUCCCAAUGCAAGGGGCCCAGGUUCGAUCCCUUGUCAGAGAA